rnacentral:rRNA from 1 species
UAAAUAGCCCGUAUUGCUUUGGCAGUACGCUGGCUUCUUAGAGGGACUAUCGGCUCAAGCCGNNNGAAGUUUGNGNCAAUNNNAGGUCUGUGAUGCCCUUAGAUGUUCUGGGCCGCACGCGCGCUACACUGACGGAGCCAGCGAGUUCUCCCUUGACCGGAAGGUCCG